CUUUCAGAUCUGUAGAAAGAAAUCAAACUUUCUCUUCUUAGGCCAUUUUGAACGCACAGCCUCCAGCAGCCACACCGACAUCUCCUUCUUACGCCAAGCCGCCGCAGCCACAGCACCGCCACCGGGAGUCACCGCCCGCCACAGCCACUGCACGCCGCCCUCCGCCACCGCGACACCGUACCACUCCGCCCUUGCAGCUCAUCAUCGCUCAACCCUUAGCCGGCUGAUUUCACAGAUGAAGCCAAGACUUAGUCUACCCUAUCUUGCUAAAUGAGUAAAUGUGAACAAGGAAUGGUUUGAACUCACAUUUUACACCGAAAUUUGGAUGUUCAAAAACUCAACCCAUGAAAUUAUAGUUCCCAAAACACCGAAAUUUGCAGUAUAGUAUGGGUGUGAAUUACUCUACAACAGCAACUAUCCCCACUCAAGAAAUGGAAGUGGUGGAUAUCCACCCUCAGGAGCUGGCCUGGCAUUAAAGAGGGCCGUAGAGUACCCAGAGAUGCUCCUGUCUUGUCUCUAAACAUUUCACAUGGGAAAGAGGUUGAUCCAAAAGCUUGACCAUGCAGAUUAUGCUUCAGUAUAUCAUCACUGAAGGCAUUCCCUCUUAUUCGUUCAAGAUUCAUAUUUUGUGUGUUUUGCUUUGGAUGAUAAUAUCUACUAAUAUUAGUUUAAAUAUUAUUGUUCAAUUUAUGGUAUUUUAGUAUUUUAUUGAAUUGUAAAUUAUUUGAGAUUGUUUAAAAUAGUUGUGAUGUUUAUUAGUUUGAUUAAUUGAGAAAA